UAAAAAACAGUUGAACUUAAGGAUGCCGGCUUCAUGCAUUUAGUCAGCCAUAGACCUAUAACCAACACAGUGUUAUUUCAUGUGGAUUCAUUACAGUGGCUAUGAAUGUAUGUAGUUAGCACUGAGUCCUACGGAGAUGUAAAGCAAAGUCCAGAAGUAAUCCCAAGGAUAGCGCAAAAUAGAGAAGAAACCCAACAGAAGAAGGAGGCAUCCUUGCCCAAAGAUGAACUUUGGUUGAUUGAGGAAAACGAAUUAAGUUCCGAAGAACUGUGCCGAGCUUCGACUCUGAUUCAGCCUAGUCAGCCCGCAGCAUGGUGUUGUUGCCUACCCUCAGAGUGCCUCUGUGCAGAUAAGGAACCGCAAGGGGAGGGGGAAGGGGGAAAAAGCCGAGCUAACUCCUCCACUGAACACAUGAGGCAUUGCCACUCCUCUGACAGCUCACUCUGCCUUGCACCACUCCUGCCUGCCGGCUAUCCUUGUGAAGGAAGGACAGAGGGAAAGGGCUGGCGGCGUUGGGGCUUCGAGUCCAGUGACAGAUCAACAAGGCUACCUGUCAAACUGCUGGAACUAAUGCACUGCAGCUGCUGGAGUGACUCCUGAUUAUGUGUACACACAAAAGGUGCCGGGAGAAGGACGGAUUAAACAUUGCCGGAGAGCAACUCCUUCCUGCUAGUUUCUUCCUGGUUUGUAUCUCAAAUUGGCUGAAAUUAAUGUGACCCAUAUUCCUUCUGAGUUAAAAAUAUCUCUCCAAAAGGACACAUGUAAGUCUGGAGGAGUUCCAAACUCUUCAUUUUCAUUGAUAAAUUAAAUAUGCUAGAAUCAUGUUUGCCAAAAGCUACCUCUGUUUUCCCUGUUUUGUUUCGCUCACAUGAUCCUCCAUCAAGAUAAUAUACAACCAUCCAGAAAUACUGAGGCUUGAAAAUGCUUUCCACUUAGAAGCUAUUUCUGCCUUUGCCCCCAGUAGUAAUAACACAAUGUACAGUUUGUGUUGCAGCUUACAAUUAUCUCCUGCAAAUACAGAUAACAACAACACCUUGCCACAGAAUAUAAUUAACUGAUUAGUUCUUUGUGAGAUUAGAUGAAGUACUUCCUUCCAAAAUGUUUGAACUACUUGUACUCUAACCACAAAUGUAAGCUCUUCAGAGGCAGUUUUGCCAUACAGAAAUCGAACCAAGAAAUGGCCUGGGCUUUUGGUGGAAGGGUCCCAUGGAAAACAAUGGGGUGGGAGAGAAGGGGAGAGAAGAGAGAACAUGAAUAAUUUCUGCAGAGAAACCUGCCGGGUAGAAAACAGCUAAUGAUGAGGGAUUUGAAUCUACUUUCCAAGAAGGAAAGGUUAACAUUAUGUUUUGCAGACUGUGUCUGAAUGGUACACAUUGCCAUCAAUCUAACUUCAGGAGUCUCUCAGAGGAGUAAUGACAGAAUUGACCAGCUUGGGAGAAGUAUCAAACGUAAGUUAAGUGUGAAAGGAGAGAGGAGGGUAGUAUGUCAGGGAUGAGUUAAACCUACUUUGAGCAUUAUGUGGAGAGAGGGGAAACGAGGCUUUUUUGCUUGGUCUCUGAAUCAGCAAAUUCUAUCUAAAUUGGGCAGGCUGAGUCACAAUAGCUACAAAGUCAAAGAGUAUAUUUGCUUAGAAACCAUGGCAAAGAAUCGAAUGGUUUCCACAAAAGAAUUAGAUCAAUAAAAGAUGAUAUCUGUAAUCUCCAGGUGAUAAUGUUAAACUCUAUCUCCAUUCACAAUCAUUUUGUGACUGGUAGACAGUAAUCUCCAGUCUUCUUAAAUGGGAAUGUCCAGGCUAAACAUCAGACAAUUUUUAGUUUAUACAGAAGACAAGCAAGGGAAAUAUAAAUUUGUUCUAGAACAGGCUUAUUUUGGCUGCCAGGUUUUAAAGCCUAGUAAUAUAGUUGUGGAGCAUAGAGUAUAGAGGUUUUAUAUAGAGAAACAAUAGCAUUUGCUGUUUCAAAAGGUAGUAUUAAUCCAGGUUUACAUAGCUUUAAAAGAGAGUUAGAUGACUUUGGGGAGGGGAGGGGUAUAUAAUAGUGAUGGGGAACAUUUGGUCAUCCAGAUAUUUUGACUCCAGCUCACAAGAUCCUUUCCCAUUGGCCACCAUGGGGGGUGGGGGCUGAUGGGAGGUCUAGGCCAAAUACCUGGAGGGCCACAGUUCAUCUCGCCUCAGAGUUAGGGUGCAAUAUUGGAAAUUGGAGGGGGUCCAGGUUCUAGAUUUAAAUGAGCAUGGGAAAUCAAUGGGUGAUUUUAAGCCAAUCUCUAUCUCCUUUUUCCAUGUAUCAAUGUAUCUCCUUUUCUGUUUUCCUUCACGUCUGUUGUGAGGUUAAAACACUGGGAAGAAGGGCCAUAUAUGUAAUUUUGAGCUCAUCAGGGGAAAGAUGGAAUACUCUAUUAAAAAUAUGAAAUAAGCAAUACAUUAGCUAUGCUAACUGGAUGAAACAUGUAUGUUACUGAAUGCUAGUUCGGAGCAUCCAUGGAAAAAUGUCACGAUCUUUAAGUCAUAUUUAUGAGCUUCCUGGAGUCAUCUGAUUGGCUAUUCUGGCAGAAUAAAGAUCUAAUUUUUCAUCUGAUUCAGGAGGGCUCAUUUGAUGUUCUUUCUUGGCCUAUGGGCAAGCUUGAAAAACAUUGUUUGGUCUCCCAAAAUACUCCAACCAACACUGUUAUUGAUCAUGAUGGCUGGAGUAGAAGAGUCUGGGAGUUUUGAUAUAAAAAUUAAUGUUUCCUCCUAGUAUUGUCAAUGAGGCAGUGAUGCAAUGCACUGGGAUUUCUUUUAACAUAACAAAGGAGGCUUCGACAAAAACAUACUAAUUUUUCUAUAUUAAAAUAUUUUGUGCCUACUAUACCCUCCCCGUACAAAACAAAAUAGUCUUGCUGCAGUUCCCAGAAGAACAUAAAAGCCAGGAUUAUAAGUGCAGUCAUCUAAUCAGAUAUUGUUAAUUCCAAGAUGGUAGCUUCCUGUUACCAUUAACUAUUUCUUAAAUUGUACAAUUAUUGUUUUAAAAUGGCUCAAAGUAAUUAAGUUAGUGUAAUCACAUGUCUCCUGCUCUUUAAACUGUUAUUAGAUCUCCUCCUGAAUAAGAGAUCCAUCUUUGCUCAAAGCAAUUAAAUAAAGGGCAACCUUCAACUAAAUCGUUCCUUAUUUUCUGGAUGGGGAAAUAUAUAUUUUAGUAAAGGAGCCUGAAUGAAACUCCAAAGGGAAAAUUUGUACACAGGUUUUGCAUUUUCAGAUGUAGACAUACAUAACAAUGAACUCACAAAUGUUAUAAAUGUAAAGCACAGUCCAUACAAACAUAUCAUUGUAUCUGUGAAAAGCCUUGUUCAUUACUGCUAGUGGCAAAAUUUAUAUAGGAUAUUCUAUUCAUGAAAAAGGGUUGCAUUUGCAAUGGAUCUCCUGGCAUUGCAUCUAGUUUGUUUCUUGGUUGGCUUAGCAUCUUUCCAGAACAAACAAAAUGAUGAGGUCCCACAGAGUAGUUCUGUAAAGUAGAACAAUUAUUGGAGUACCCCCUAAUGUACUCCAAAUCAGGUGGUUUUUAAAGAUUCUGUGGCACUAUCUUUGAGAUGAUACUGAAGACUACAAGAGGGAAGGAAAACAAGGAUGUUCUGCUGAGCAAGUGGGCCUCUCCUAAUGUGACGGCAAAAGCAGACCAAACAUCUUUUAUUUAAAGUGGGAAGAAUGUGAGGGACAAUGGGCAUAAAAAGAUACUUAGCUGAGACUGGAUUGUGCUUAUUGCUACAGCUGUUGCUGCUACAGCAAGAGGGACUUUUAACAAGAACUUUCUAAAAUAUAUGUUUCUAUUUCCCACUUGCUAAUAGCAAAGCCAUGCCAGCUUCAAAGAUUGCAAAAUAAAAGAAACUGCCAAGGUUAUUGACACAGUGCUUUCCACUCUUCUCAUGCAUCCACCCAGGCCUGGCAUUGUGGAGACUGUCCUCAUUGGGCUAUUGGGUGUAUGGGUUAUCACUUUACUUCUUAUUCAGUUUCUCAAGCCUCAGAUUUUUCAAAUAAGUGCAUAUUUCUCACUUGCUUCUCAACUAUCCUAUUUUAACUUUCUUUCAUUUGGAAUCUUGUCAAUUAAGGAUGAUUAUUAAUUUUUUAGGACUUUUUAAUUCUUUAAUGGUUAAUCCAUAUGCUCAAAUCCAUAUGCCCAAAAGGUUAUACAUGAGGCUAGUCCUUGGAAAAAAACUUUUCUAGAUGGUAUUGCCCAGAAUUUCAUAGCCAGCAUGGCCAGAAGCAACACUGACUAAUGAAUUAUGGGAGCUGCAAUAAAAAGUAACUACUUAGGCUUUUCCAGAUGCUUUUAAUAACUGUAGGUGCCCAUGUUUAUCAGAUUGCUUUAGUUGCAUAGAUUAACUACAGUUACACCAUCAUCUAGGUCAGAGUUUCUCAAACUGUGCUCCUCCACCAAAUGUUUUGGACUUCAACUCCUACAAUUCCUGCUGCUAAACUGACUGGAAUUUUUGAGAGCUGAAGUUUGAAAUACGUGGAGGAACAGAGUUUGUGAAACACUGAUCUAGAUAAUUCAGAUAACCAAAGGAACCAUCUAUACCAGCUUUCCACACUCUCCAUUCACUUCUGUGAGCACGCUCCCCAUCAGCUCCAUAUAGCACAGCCAAUGGUCAUGAAUGGACAUCGCUGUCUAAAACAUAUAUGGCCCACAAAUUGCUGCCAUCAAUGAAAACCUUUUAAAACAAAUUUAUUUUUUAUUUUAUUUAUUUACAGCAUUUAUAUUCUGCCCUUCUCACCCCGAAGGGGACUCAGGGCGGAUCACAUUACACAUAUAGGCAAACAUUCAAUGCCUUUUAACAUAGAACAAAGACAAGACAAACAUAGGCUCCGAGCGGGCCUUGAACUCAUGACCUCCUGGUCAGAGUGAUUCAUUGCAGCUGGUUACAGCUGGCUUGCUCUCCAGCCUGCGCCACAGCCCGAGCCUUAAAAUUGCCUUUUAUUUAAAACAAUCCUGUUGGCAGUUUCUGUAAUGUACAGACUACGGGUGCAUACUUAAAAUAAUAACAACAUAAAAAUGCGUGAGGCUUGAUUAACUCUAGGUCAAAGUUUACCCAGUAAAGUAUUAUUACUGUACACUAAAUGGAUCCUGUGUAAAUAGAUAUUGAAAUAUAUUUUCUCAUUAGGUUUAAAAGGAUAUAUUUACUAAAUAUGCAAAUAAGCUUUUGAAUUUAGACUGAGACCUCAUAAUUACCUCCAAUCUUCAGGCCAGGGAAAGUAUAGUCAUAGAUAAAAAAUAAAAUGGAAUAGAUUUAUGUUUUAAUUAAAAAUAUCUUGUUGUCAUUUCUGCUGGGGUUUUGAAAAGUUUGUGUUUGAACAUAAGUACCUACUCCAUGUUAUAUUCAUUUAUUUAUUUUAAUGGGACAAGUCUGUGAUUUCUAUUUGAGUAUGUCGGAAUGUCUGGCCUAACAUAAUUAAUCACUGCUGAUCUGACAGAUUAUAAAAUCUGUGGUACACAUAACUCUUAUCUACAACUAUUUUUUAUCUGUGCUGAAAUGUUAUAGAAGGCUAUUUAACAUCUAAGCUCAAUUUACUUCUGGGCACUGAGGCUUCUGAGCUACAGAUCUAAGCCCUGUGUCCACCCUAAAAGGAAGUGAAAGUUUAACUUGAUUUUCAAGUAGUUCUAGCAUUGCAUAAUCACUACACAGCAAUUUAAACAAAGAAUGUUUACCUUAGGCUCUAAAAAAAAUCUUUGCAAUGUGAUUUGCGUAAGCAACGUUUUCUUAUUAUGCUGUUAUAUACUCUUUGCAAGCCAAACACACCAUGCAAUGAAAAUAGCUUUCAUUCAUUGUUUCCCCAAGUUAGCUUUUAACAUCCUUGCUUUCUUCUAAGACAGCAAUGCUGUUGGACCCCAAUUCCUCAAAUCAUAGCAGAAUAAUCAAUGGUUUGGAAUGACUGGAGUUAUAGUUGAAUGACUAUCCCAUCCCCAUGAUCAUUGUGUCCUUCUCUAAAGGAAAAUGUGGCUAACUGUCAUGAGCAGAUCAUCCCAGUAGAUACAAAACAAACACUUUACAUUUAUAUUCAUAGCCACCACACCUCCAAAGCCAUAAACAUUUGUUUAGUUCACAGAAUCAAUUUCUGCUCCAGUUUCUGCUUCAGAACUGCUUCUGCAUACAUAUUAACUUGGAGAAAGCAUUAUACACAUUUCAAGUAUUUGGAACAGACAUUUUCAGGGACUGAAAUAAUUUCAGCAACACUGAUAAGCAAGACCACAUAAAAUCUUGUUUUAUGCUGAUUUGCAUGGCACUUUCCCCAGAUAAUUGCAGACAAGCAUGUUUCUGGCUGGUUAUGGUGUGUAUGCCCAUGCAUUUAUAGUAUUUUGGAAAGGAUGUGCUAAAUCCAAUCAGAUUUAAUCCCAGGUAACGGUAUAGGGAGAUAAAGUGUUACUGUGAUGUGAGCGUGGAACUAUGACUCUAGAUAACAGGGUUUGAAUCCUUGCUUAGCCAUCGAAACCCACUGGGUGACCUUGGGCAAGUCACCUUUGGCAAAUUACAUUCUCUGAGCCUUAGAAGGGAGAGGCAAAUCCUUCUGAACAAAUUUUGACAAAAAAACCCAUGAGAAUUCAAUUAGGCCUCAUCUACACUGUCAUAUGAUCCAGUUUCAGAAUGUAGAUUAACUUCACUGAAUUGGAUUCUAUGGCAGUGUAGACCCAUAUGAUCCAGUUCAGUGCAGUUCAAUCUGCAUUAUAUGAGUCUAUACAGAUCAUUAUAAUGUAGUUCAAGCUGGAUUCUAUGGCAAGGUAGAUGGGGUCUUAGGGUCACCAUAAACUGAAAACCACUUGAAGGUACACAAUAAGUGCAUGCACAACCUCUUGAAGGUAAACUAAAAGACAAAAUCUACUCAUAAUUUCUACUCCAUCCUGUGUGCAGGUGAAGCAUUGGGAGGCGGAGCUUUGAGUGCUAUCCUGCUUGUCCAAACUAACAUUCUGCUCUCAUUUGAAAUAAUUUUCCACCAUUACUUGAGUUGUCUUCUGCAUGAAAAAGAGGAAACAGGCACCAUUUAACAUUCUGAUGGCAAAAGCCAGAUCUGUCAAUUAUCCCACAUCAAUCUGCAGAAUAAAGCCCUGGAUAUUAUUAUUAUUAUUUAUUCAUUUCUAUCCUGCUUUUCUCCCGUGGGUGGGAUUCAAAGUGGCAUACGGCAUAUAAAAUUCAUACAAAUACAUUGAACAGCAAUACAUAAUCAAUUAAAAUAUCACAUCUUGAUUAAAACCCAAUUAAGAUAUCAAAUAAAUCAAUUUUUUUAAAAAAACUUACAACAAGCACCAUAUUAAAGAUAUCCAUAACCUCUGGCUACUGAAGUUAUUUGUCAAUUAUUAUUUUAAAAAAUCAAACUGGCAGUGCCUAUUUUCAUUUGUCUGGGAAGGCCUGGCUCCACAGAAAGCUUUUAAUUUGCGAACAAAAGGCCAUUAAGGAUACUAUACUGUUAACUCCUGAGAAAUCUGUAUAAAGACCAAGUAGCCACAGUAAGAACAGAUCACAGAACAACAGACUGGUUCAAAAUUGGGAAAGGAGUGCGGCAGGGCUGCAUACUUUCACCCUCCCUAUUCAACUUGUACGCAGACCACAUCAUGCGACAUGCGGGGCUUGAGGAAUCCAAGGCCGGAGUUAAAAUUGCUGGAAGAAACAUUAACAACCUUAGGUAUGCAGAUGAUACCACUCUGAUGGCCGAAAGUGAAGAAGAACUGAGGAGCCUUAUCACCAAGGUGAAAGAAGAAAGUGCAAAAGCUGGGUUGCAGUUAAACAUCAAGAAAACCAAGAUCAUGGUAACUACACCUAUUGAUAACUGGCAAAUAGAAGGAGAAAACGUGGAGGCAGUGACAGACUUUAUAUUUCUAGGCGCGAAGAUCACUGCAGAUGCAGACUGCAGCCAGGAAAUCAGAAGACGUUUACUUCUUGGGAGGAGAGCAAUGGCCAACCUUGACAAAAUAGUGAAGAGCUGAGACAUCAUACUGGCAACGAAGGUCCGCAUAGUCAAAGCAAUGGUAUUCCCCAUAGUAACCUAUGGAUGCAAGAGCUGGACCAUAAGGAAGGCUGAGCGAAGGAAAAUAUAUGCUUUUGAACUUUGGUGCUGGAGGAAAAUCCUGAGAGUGCCUUGGACCGGAAGAAAAUCCAACCAGUCCAUCCUCCAGGAAAUAAUGCCCAGCUGCUCACUGGAGGGAAGGAUAUUAGAAGCAAAGCUGAAGUAUUUUGGCCACAUUAUGAGGAAACAGGAAAGCUUGGAAAAGAUCAUGAUGCUGGGGAAAAUGGAAGGAAAAAGGAAGAGAGGCCGGCCAAGGGCAAGAUGGAUGGACGGUAUCCUUGAAGUGACUUGCUUGACCUUGAAGGAACUGGGGGCGGUGACGGCUGACAGGGAGCUCUGGCGUGAACUGGUCCAUGAGGUCAUGAAGAGUCGGAGACGACUAAACGACUGACCAGCAGAGUGAUACCUCCUGUGCUUAGAUUAACAAAGGGUUAAACCUAGAAGCCCUCGGAGUUGAAAAAUUUCCCCGACUAAACGUUUCUGACUAUUUUUUCCAGCCUUUUAUAUUGAGACCACAUGACGUUUCUGUAGCUCAGCUGCUCAACUUGACUACAUAGCUGAACCGCAUGAUGUUCUCAUAGGGCAGCUAACAUCUGACUGUCGCAAGAAGGUAUAAAUCCAUCAGAAGAAAUGCUCUAUGAAUGUGUAAACUUUAAUUCAACCCUCUCGGUCUUCUUUGCGAGCUUAAUUCUUUAUCAUUUGUUUAGAUGUAGAUUUAAGUAGUUGAGUUUGUGUCUCUAAAUGCAUAAACUAAUUUAACUAGUCAAAUAGAUUGAUUAUAAAAGUUAUUUUAUGUACAUUAUUUGAUGAGGCAUUCUGGACAGCAACAAAAAGGCUGGGUGACUGCUACUUUUAUAACAUGUAAGUUAUAAUUAGUCAAAAUACAUCAUACAAGUCUUGGAACAAGUGAAAUAGCAGUUCUUAGUGUAGGAAAAUAUCCAUCAUGGACAUCAUCCACUAUGUAGAAACUUUAAUCUUCUCUGCAAUGAGACCACAAAUAUGCCUUGAUCCCCAUUGUAUUAGCUAGCAAUGAGUGUCCAAUGUCCAUUUCCAUGUUUGGUGCAAGAUGUGCAGAUCUGGUUAAUCUGUAAAAACUACCACAAUUGAGCUAGUUAACUUAACCAGAUGAGGUGGCAUAUUGAAAAUACUUAAUUUCUUCUAUGCUACUAACAUGUUACAAUCCAAAUCCUAUUUUAGGUGUUCAGAGCAGAGAUCCCAGAAAUUUCAAAAGUACUUCCCAAAUUAGACAUGCUAUUUGUGAGAUUAUACAACUUGUAGUCCAAAAACGUAACUUUCCAAGCUGUGAUCCACAGGCAUCCAUUUCAGUCAAAAACAUACAGCAAUUUCCUGCUAGCAGUUCUGGACUAUAUUUUGCAUUUAGCUUUGCAUUUGCCUUGCUUUUGGAAUUCAUAACAGCUCAGAGGUCCAAUUACAUUACUCCACCACCAGUAAAGGCCAAGAGAUAAGAGUCAUUUAAGCUAUACAGUCCCACUUGUCUUCAAACUCUUCACUAUUUAUUGUAUAUAAGAAAUUGUAGUAAAAAUGACCCCAAAAACCUGGCUUUACUUAGCCACAGGUAUCAUAACACUUAUCGAAAAAAGAACCAUCCCCUUCGCUGAAUACCUGAAGAACCUAAAGAAACACAAAGCCCUCUACUCUAUCUGCUCCAAGCAUCAGCAAGAGAAUGUUAGUGGAACCAAGACAGUGUUGGUUCUUUCCUUCCCAAUGGAAUAACAUUCUGUUUAUCAAUUCAUCAUAUCAAAAUUAUGACCCCUAAACCUUUAUGAUUUAUGCAUGAACUCAACUCAGUAAGGUAAAUUCAAAUACCUAUAUCCAAGUUGUUGUCUCAUGAAGGAUAAACCCACAAAUUAACUGCUGAAUUCAAAUUGGCACAAAUGUCUCCUAAACAAAAUACUACCAUAGCCAGAUUGAUCAACAUCAUCAUCAUCAUAAUCAUCAUCAUCAUCAUCAUCAUCAAUUCAUUUCUAUCCUGCUUUUUGCCAUAGGUGGGACUCAACACAUUCAAACUGCACAGUUAUUAUUUUUCUAUAUAAAAAGUAAUAUUAAACAAAUAAAAAUAAAACCCACCACACAAAUAUAAUCAAAACCAAGGCACUUUGUUUUAAGGUUUUUCUUUACAAAUAAAAAUGAUCACAAGGUCUUUAUCUGAUUUUUUAAAGGACAGCCUUUUAUAAAAGGACAUCCAAAUGCAACAUCUUAACAAACUAGGAAUAGAACGGAUUUUCAUCAAUUCCCAGAUGUGGUCAAAACUACAGUUCCUGAGCCAGUGGGUAUCACAAUAAACUGAAGAAGAGCUGGAAAGCCUUGAUUUCAGUAGAAGAAGGAUACAUUAUAAAUGUAACUAAACAAGUAAAAACAACAAAAACGAGAAUAUGGAUUUGUGUAAAAUGCUUGAUAUUAAGCAAUCUUUUAAGUAUGUACAUUUAUGUGUGCAGUGGUAAUAUUUAUAACCUUUGCAGUGUUCCCUCACUUAUUGUGGGGGUUAUGUUCCAGGACCAUCUGCGAUAAGUGAAAAUCUGCGAAGCAGGAACACUAUAUUUAUUCUAUGUGUGGAGGAGAGCAAACCACAGACCACUUACUACAAUGCAGUCUGUACUUUAUUUUAGCAGUUACAAUAUACAGUACACCGGCAGAGAAAAAGAAUGGAAGCUAAAUAAUAACCUUUUUUAUUUCCAACCCUUCCCUGCCCUCCCCCUCUCCCUUUAGUUCUCCCUUCCUCCUUGCCAAAACCCUUUGCACACCACAAAAAUGUGCAAAACAAUGAAAAUACCGCAAUACAUGGUAUACGUUAAUAUUUAUUGAAAACCCACAAAACAGCGAGGGCACGAAAAGCGAACAGCGAACUAGCAAGGGAACACUGUAUAACAAUCCCAUUAAUGCUACCCCUCUAUUCUGCCUUGGUCAGACCACACCUGAAAUACUGUGUCCAAUUCUGGGCACCGCAGUUGAAGAGAGAUGUUGACAAGCUGGAACGCGUCCAGAGGAGGGCGUCUAAAAUGAUUAAGGGUCUGGAGAACAAGCCCUAUGAGGAGCGGCUUAAAGAACUGGGCAUGUUUAGCCUGCAGAAGAGAAGGUUGCGAGGAGACAUGAUAGCCAUGUACAAAUAUGUGAGGGGAAGUCAUAGGGAGGAGGGAGCAAGCUUGUUUUCUGCUGCCCUGCAGACUAGGACGCAGAACAAUGGCUUCAAACUACAGGAAAGGAGAUUCCACCUGGACAUCAGGAAGAACUUCCUCACUGUGAGGGCUGUUCGGCAGUGGAACUCUCUGCCCUGGAGUGUGCUGGAGGCUCCUUCCUUGGAGGCUUUUAAGCUUAGGCUAGAUGGCCAUCUGUUGAGGGUGCUUUGAAUGCAGUUUUCCUGCUGCUUGCAGGGGCUUGGACUGGAUGGCCCAUGAUGUUUCUUCCAACUCUACACUUCUAUGAUUCUAUGAUUCAGUCACAAACCUAAGAAGGUUACUUUUGGGACUACAACUCCUAGCAUAGUUAAUGACCAUGCCCAAUGGUAGAGUCUGAGAGUUGUAAUCCAAAUAAUGUAAUGUCUCUAAGCUCUGGGAUGGUCAUAAUUAUUUCCCUGAUAUUCUGAAAUGAGCAUCUAAGGCUGGGGAAAAACAGCUUCCUUCAAGCUCACUAGUGAGACAAUGGUAAAUGAAACUUCAAACCAACAGUUUUCUGAUUCAGUGUCCUGCUCUAUAUCAAAGCCCUAAAACUGCUUGCAAACUUAGCCAGAGUCUUAAAUCAGAUGUUUAUCAGUUAUUUUCAUGAACAGCUCUAUUUUUAGACUUAACAUUUCCAAACUGCUCUUUGAAAGGGUAUUAGCAUGAAGGUCCCAUUUUUCCCAGGCACAAAUAUACAGAUCUGCUUUCAUUUUUUUAAAAGAUCAAAAAACCCCAAUGUAUCAUAUGUAUAUUUAUUAUUUAUAGAUUAUAAAUAUGCAUCAAAUGUUUUCUGAUCUCUAGAUGACAUCUCUGAAGUAUACUAUUUUGAGCAGAAUUUCAGGUCCCCCGACUUGCAUUAUUAACUUUUAUUUAAAAGUAUUUCAUUGUAAAAGGAUGAAGAAUGAUAAACCACAUGAAUAUCAUUCAUCUGCUCAUCUUCUCAUCCAUACACCCUUCCUUCCUUCCUUCCUGCUUUCCUGAUUCAGGGCAAAUAUUUUCCAAAUAUGAGUUCAUAGAGCGAAAAGGGUUUUCCAGAUACAGAUGAUAACUAUGACAUGUUUUUUUUAAUCUCCUGUAUUUUCUGAAUGCCAAUCUCAGAGACCCUUCCAGUUUCUCAGCUUUGUAAACACAGUUCAGCUAAUAAUCACCAAAGGCUUCAUUCCCAAAAACAUAUUCACAAAAAUUAUUUAGUAAAUUACAGUAUUAAUUGAAGAUUUGCACGGAUGACAAUCUAAUGAAUGAACAAGGGAUGCUGUGUUAACUGCCUUUUUGUCUAUUUCAAAACAUAUAAAGCAGACCUAAUGGAGGAGGUGUUCUGUUUAUAUGAAACAUAGUGUAUGAGAUAGAGGAAAGAAACCUGCCUGUCUUACCUGAGAGUCUAGGUCUGAUGCUGGACAUAAGCCAGUCUAGGGAACCAAAGAAGUGCUGACUGGUGAGGUGUGAAAAGGGAAUGUUUUGCUUCCCUCUUCAUCAGUUUGUCUGAAGACUCCAUAUAGUAGACACACGUGUGGCUGCUAUAAUAUUUUCUUUUUGCCUUCGGGUUUCAGGAAUAGAAUACACACUUCAUGCUUCCAGGAAUCUGUAGGUUCUGCUUUCAGAGCAUCACAUUUUUUCUUUCAACCCCAUUUCAUCCUAUAUAUAUGUACACAUAGAGUACAGCCCACAGGCAACCCUGAAGGUUACCUACUUCAUGAACUUCUACCAGACCCUAUUGGGACUCUGUCAAGGAAAAAAGGAGAGAGAAUGGCACCUUCCAGGAGCUGAAAUUCUGAUCUAAAACAAAGGCAACUCCUGCACCUUGUUUUGGGCCAAAUUCAGUUAUUCAAAAAACAGAAAGUGAUGUUCAGAUAUGUGUGAAAUGGGUAAAUAUGAUGCCUGGACUUGUCUGAUAGAUACUAAUAAUGAACUUAGUCUUUAUGUAUAGUUUUUCAUGUAGUCAAAAUAGUGCCACCCUUCACAAUACAAAAGUAUUAGCAGGCCUAGGGGAACCACAAGGUAAAAGUACCCCCUUUAUUAUAUAAAAAACUAAGUAACAGGUUGAAUGUUUUUGGAAAUACUAUUGGAAAGGAAAACAGAAAAGCAAGGAACGGGGAGGGGGGGGAGAGAGAAAGAAAUUGGGUGGUUGGCAAAGAGCAAGGCUGGCUAGAAUUGUGAAUAAAAACACAGCACUGCAAUAUUUCAUUUCAAUCCCACUUGCAUAACAUAAUGGAUGCCCACAUUUUAGUAACUUAAAAAACUAGUGAAGUCUCAGAGAACAGAUAACACACAAAACUUGUUGUUGAUGUGGUUAUUGUAACUGUAACACAUGAAAUCUGUAGAUUCAAGGUAUAAAAAAUCUAAUUGCCCAAUAUGAAACUGUACUGAAGACACACUGUACUUGAUCCUUGAGUUUUUCUUCCUUGAACAGAAAGGAUUUAUAAAGCCCUUUGCGUAAUAACUUAAUGUAAGAGUGGAGUACAGUGCUGCAGAGUAGUUAGAAGCAAACAAAAGAGAGAAAAGCUCUCUAGUGAGUCAUUGAACUGGGCUUCUCAGUGGACAACAAAACAAGGUGAGGAGGAGACAAUGGAAGCAUACCAAGCAAGCCACAAUAUCCGGGGAUUCAAGGCUGAGUUCAAACAGAACCCCAUUCAUCGAUACAAAUCAUUUUACUUUGAAGAAGGGGGCCAGCAGAGUUGAAAACGUUGCUGAAAGGCAACUUGCACAAGCCAAAUAAAACAAAAGAACCAUCUCCUCAUUUCCAAACACAGUGUGAGUCAUUGUUAAACUUUGAACGUACACAUACAGAGCAGCAACCAUGGAAAUAAUGCAUUUUCCUGUACGGCACAAGACAAGUCAACAACUGCCUGUCUUUUUCAAGGUUUUUUUUUUAACCCAUGCCACUCAAGUGGGUGUUCUUCAGGCUGUUCUGCAAAUCAUAUUUUUUUCCAUCUACAAAGAAAGUCACGACUCAGGGGACAGUUCAACAGUCAAAAGGAAAGCUAUUGUCAUCUUGAACAGAAAAAAAAUGCACGCUUCACUAGAUGAAAGGCCCAUCGCAGGGGUAGAUUAAAAAAAAGAAGAAGAACAAGAACAUCUCAUGGAAUCCACAACAGAAAUAAGGGGAUACCACAAAGGUGCCAUGUUGGCUCAAGGAUUUGUGGAGGUGUGUUCCAAAAAUUAACUCUUCAAAGCUCUGGGGAUCAUAUGUUAGCAGUGGUGGAGCUGAAGAGAGCAAUGCAGGAGUAAGUGGCAGAAAAGACCAAUCCCCCCCCCCCCAUUAUCCUUUUCUGUUCUCCCUCUUCUUCCCCACCUGAUAUUUGGAAAAGUGCCAAGCAGCCACCUGUAUCAAUUUCAAUCCAGUCUUGCACUACUGAGUUGAAGAUACCAAUCUCCAGUCCACAUCUACCUCAUUUUGGCCACCAUCUUCCUUUCACGUUAGUCUGGGUUGAAUGACAGAGAGAUUGCUUUUUAUGCAGGAAUCAUAGAAUCAAAGGAACAGAAGGGGGUUCAUGGGCCAUCAAGCCCAACUCACUGCUCAGUGCAGAAUCUCCACCUAAAGCAUCUGCAGCUGAUGGCUAUCCAGUCUUUUUUUACCGAAGGCUAGAAAGGGAGAUCCCACCCCCUCUCUAGGCUAUUGAUCCUGUUGCCAAAUCACUUUCAUUGUCAAGAUGCCUCUUCUAAUGUUCAAUUGAAAGUUACUCUCCUGUAACUUCAAACUACAGUAGAGUCUCACUUAUCCAACAAUCACUUAUCCAACAUUCUGGAUUAUCCAAUGAAUUUUUGUAGUCAAUGUUUUCAAUAUAUCGUGAUAUUUUGGUGCUAAAUUCGUAAAUACAGUAAUUACUACAUAGCAUUAAUGUGUAAUGAACUACUUUUUCUGUCAAAUUUGUUGUAUAACAUGAUGUUUUGGUGCUUAAUUUAUAAAAUCAUAAUCUAUUUUGAUGUUUAAUAGGCUUUUUCUUAAUCUCUCCUUAUUAUCCAACAUAUUCGCUUAUCCAACGUUCUGCCAGCCCGUUUAUGUUGUCUACUGUAUUAGAUCUGGCCCUAUCAUCUGGGGCAGUGGAAAACAGAUCUGUCGGUUCUCUCUGUGAGAGCCUUGAGAGCGCACUGAUAUCAUUCCUCAAAAAGGGUUGUGAACUUACUCUGAUUUUUUCUCAUUCAAGAUUAUUCCUUGAAUGACAAAAAAUUCAAUUGCUUCACCCAUUGAGAGAAGCAAUGGAAUACGUCAUCAUCUAAACCCUUGUAAAAUUCAGUGGAUGAGGCAGAGAGAGGGCAUGAUAAAACUGCAAGUGCCUGCUCAUUUUCUAUUUAAAUGACUAUAAUUACUUCUGAAUUUGCAUCUCCAAAUAGACAUUAACAUAUGCAAACUGCUAUCCAGUAUCUGUUGCUACUAUUUGUUGUGGAAAGCUGCACUUUUUUCCUGAUUCUAUGUAGCCUCACUUUUUUAAAAAAUUGCCUUUUUGAAAGAAGAAGAAUCUUCCAUAUGCAACACAGAUGCUGAGGUUUCUAAGGGUGGUACAUUUCAGUGCUUUUGCAGCCAUCUGCUCGCAAUGUUGACUGUGACAUUAGCUACAGGGUGUCCAAUCGCCUCACUUUCCUCCCAAUUUGGCUUUUGUUUCCAGUUGUACUCCACAAAAGAACCAAUAUGUACUGCCCUUAUAAACUAUGCUAUUUGAGGGUUUUUGAAAUAGUAUAAGGAAAAUAUUGCAGAGUUUAGAAGGAGAGGUAACAAGGAGCAAGUAAACUGCAGAGAGUGGUGCAGUAGGAAUUACUCAAAACAACCAUUUCUCAAUUAGAGCACCCUGAAGGUAUCUUGAGCCAGCUCUGACCUGCCCAAUCUUCUCCACCAUUGGUAGAGAUGAAGAGAGACAGCGUUUUCUCAGUUAUUAUGUCCAGACCCUGGAAUGCUACCCCCAGCAAAGUUUGUCUGCUUACUUUCUGGCGCCAGAUGUCAACCUUUUUAUUUACCCAAGACCUUUAGAUUUGGUUUUAAUGUGGUUUUAUUGCAAAAUUAUUAUUUGUUUGACGUUUAUUGUUUUAUUGACACUGUUAUUUUUAUUACCUCUACUGAUCUUAUAGAAGCUGCUCUGGGGCACUGGGUGACAGAAGAGGAAGGUUAAAAUGUCUUCUGAUCAAACACAGGCACAUUCUCCACAGAAAAGGAUUCCAAGGCAUGUUUCAGUGGCCAAUUUCUCUUUUCUAUACAUUAUUAAAUAUUUAGGAUUCCUGAUCAGACAAUCAAACUUUGCCAUCAUUGAUCAACAUUACCGUUUUGUUACUAUUAGUUAUGUUUAUGUUCAACCCUUCCUCCAAAUUAUUUUAAGGCAGUAGUUCUCAACCUGUGGGUCCCCAGGUGUUUUGGUCUACAACUACAAGAAAGCCCAGCCAGUUUGCCAGCUGUUAGGAAUUCUGGGAGUUGAAGGCUAAAACAUCUGGGGACCCACAGGUUGAGAACCACUGCCUUAAGGCAUCACACAGGAUCUUCUUCUCCUCGCCCCAAAUUUGUGAGAUAGAUUUAGUUGAAAGAUAAUGACAAGUAAGGAUUUGAAUUUGAGUUUACCUAAUCUCCCUAGUCUAACAUUCUAACUGUUAUACCACAAAGUCUUGCAACAAAGGAGUUGAAGCUCUUUAGACCAACUGAAGUUUCUAAGCACUUGCCUAUGUUAGAUCUUAGCCUGUUUCUGGUCAGAAUCACUCUGAGUUUUCUUCCACUGUCGCUCUAGUCCCUGUCUCAUGUGUUUCACUUUUGCCAGUUCCUUAGUAAACCAAGAGGAUGGUUUAGCUCCACUUUGUGACAAGGGACACUUCGGAAAAAUUGUGCCUACUUCCCCAUCCAGAGAUCGGCCAGGGCUUCAACAGGAUCACCUGCCAGCUAGUGGAAAAAUUCCUAAGAGCAAUCAAGAAUCCAUCUAGAUCCAUAAGUCUCCUGGAGCAGACCAUCUUAAUCGCCCCCCACUCCCACCCCAUCUCACUUGAGGAAACAGGAACAGUAAACUAGUUUACUUGCUUCUAUCCAGAAAGAAGAUGAAAAACAGAGCGAAAGUUAUGCUCUUGUGCCAUAAAAAUUAUGAAAGAAGGGGGAUACUGACAAUGUAAAUACAUAGACCUCAGGAGAGUCUUUGUAAAUUGAAGCAAUAAAUCAAUACAUGGGUCCCACCCAUGGCACCUUACUAAAAAAAAAAAAAACACCUCCUCAAAUCUGGACAGAGUUUGAUGAAAGGCCCUUCAAACUGGAUAGAGUUUAUGUCUUUGUACAGUGAUUGGAGAUGGUGGAUAACUGCCCUGCGAUUCUGAAAACUGCAGUCCAAAAUUGAACUUUUCCAGGUUCUGGAAAUUGAAACUGGCACCCAUUAUGUAGAACUAGUCACUUUGAUCAGGAAGAUAAAAUGUGGGUUGGCACAGACUAGUUGUAAGUCAGUACUCAAGCUGCGACAAUUUGUUUUCAUAGUACAGCUUGUAUUAAGUCUGUAUCUCUUGGAACACCACUUUAUGGGCACAGUGUCCUACAAACAGAGGGCUAUUGCUCCUUCAGCAUAGGUUUGCCUCUUGCCAACUGAGACUUUAAAUCUCUAAUACAAUAAGGUUCCUCCUGUUUGCCAAAUUCUGCCUGUUGUGGCAAGCAGGUCUCCAGGUGGAACAUCAGUUGAUGAUAGGUCUGGGGAGGGAAUAAGUGAGAGCAGUUAUAGCUGCCUUGUCUCCUGCUACACUGGCAGGUUGAAAUGAUGUGUCAUCAGGUGUGUGUUUCUGAUUCAUCAAACUAAUUUGGCAUUAGAAUGGUAGUUUAAAAAGUAUGCAAUGAAACAUUUACGGGACAUCCUAUAGUACACAGAGAUAAAAACACUAAUGAUAAUAAUUUUAAUGCAAAGAUUAGGAUGGUUACAUGUUCACAAAUUAGUACAACUAGUAAGUGGAAGGAGCAUAUAAUGUUACUGCCAAAGAAGUGUAUACAGUAUACAGAAGUUUUAUCCAUUAAUAUCCAACUCAAAAGGAAAAGACCCAGCUAUAUCAGAUAUAGAGGAAUAGAUAAAGAAUCCUUGGACAUGAUCCUAAAAGGUAAAAUAACAUUAAAAAUGGAGCACAAAUAAAGAAUAUCUGUGUACAUGUUGUGAAUUAAUUGAUAAUAUGUCUGAAGAAGCUGCUACUCAGAAGAUGCAAUUGCUGUUUUAUCCCUUUCUCUUUUGUUUUUACUUCUUUUAUAACUGACCUGUGUCUGACUGUUUUGUUGCAGAGUAUGUCUGUUUUAUCAAUUUGUACAUGACGUUGAACUACAGCUUGUCCUGAGUGGUCUCUUUAAUCCUGUCAUUCUGUGUGUAUAAUGUUUUGACAGAUAGAUCAAGGUCAAAUUAGAGGUAUUGGGUCCUAUAGAUAGUUUCCUGCUUGGGUUUGGGAAGGUAAGGGCAAUGGGUUUGCAGCCUCGGGUAAACAAUGAGCUGUAGAACAAUAAAGGCUGCUUCUAAGAUUUGUCUGAAUUUAAAUUGCUACUUGGAUGACUCUUAUAUCUCUAAAUACAACUAUGUGGAUGUUAUUGUUC